ACAACCGACAGCGACACAGCGACAGACUCACUGCUCCCAAAGUGACAGGAGGCCAUAAACACAACUGUGACUCGUUAACAGGAGAAGGAAAGAGAGAGGAUAACACGUAGAAAAGGAGCACAGGUCAGAUUUGAACCCAUAGACGCUGAAGCAAGGACCCGACCGCGGUACAAGGGGCGCCAGCUCCACCAGGUGAGCUACCAAGGCCUCCCGUCAUUAACAUUUCUACCCCCUCCUUUUACCGUGGGACUCUUUUUCCACUCCAGAAAUGAAAAGAGGCGGGACUUGUCAUGAUCUGUACAAGUUCUUGAUUUUAUUGUAAGCACAGCUUUGUAAAUGCACGAAGGAAACAACAGUGAAAACUAGAAUGUUACAAGAAGAGGAAGGAAAGAAAGACACAAUGAAGAGAAGAGGGUGACAUGACAGUUUUUUUUUUUCCAGAGCUGUAAAUAAUACAUUUCUACAAAUUCCUCAGCUGAGAAAACAUAAGUGUGAGAGAGAGAGAGAGAGAGAGAGAGAGAGAGAGAGAGAGAGAGAGAGAGAGAGAGAGAGAGAGA